CGUAGGUGGCAAGCGUUGUCCGGAUUUAUGGGUUUAAAGGGUGCGUAGGCGGUUCUAUAAGUCAGUGGUGAAAUCCGGCAGCUCAACUGUCGAUGUGCCAUUGAUACUGCAGAACUUGAGUACAGACGAGGUAGGCGGAAUUGACGGUGUAGCGGUGAAAUGCUUAGAUAUCGUCAAGAACACCGAUAGCGAAGGCAGCUUACUAGACUGUAACUGACGCUGAUGCACGAAAGUGUGGGGAUCAAACAGGAUUAGAUACCCUGGUAGUCCACACUGUAAACGAUGAUUACUCGAUGUUGGCGAUACACAGCCAGCGUCUUAGCAAAAGCGAUAAGUAAUCCACCUGGGGAGUACGCCGGCAACGGUG
rnacentral:rRNA from 1 species